UAGGGAAUCUUCGGCAAUGGACGAAAGUCUGACCGAGCAACGCCGCGUGAGUGAAGAAGGUUUUCGGAUCGUAAAACUCUGUUGUUAGAGAAGAACAAGGACGUUAGUAACUGAACGUCCCCUGACGGUAUCUAACCAGAAAGCUACGGCUAACUACGUGCCAGCAGCCGCGGUAUUACGUAGGUGGCAAGCGUUGUCCGGAAUUAUUGGGCGUAAAGCGCGCGCAGGCGGUUUUUUAAGUCUGACGUGUAAGCCACCGGCUCAACCGGGGAGGGUAAUUGGAGACUGGGAGACUUGGGUGCAGAAGAGGAGAGUGGAAUUCCAGAUGUAGCGGUGAAAUGCGUAGAUAUUUGGAGGAACACCAGUGGCGAAGGCGGCUCUCUGGACUGUAACUGACGCUGAGGCUCGAAAGCGUGGGGAGCAAACAGG
rnacentral:rRNA from 1 species